GGCACACACGGCACACACACGACACGAUCAUAGGAAGCCCCCGACACCUGGGCAGCCCCUCCCGCUCGUAGCCAUCAUCAUUGCCCCAAUAAUUCACUCCCCGCACCGGACGCCGAUCGCCACCACCACCAGUAGAGGGCGCGCCGCGCGCCAAUAAUAGGGGCGCGAGCAUGGCGUCCCAGCGCUGAAACACACUGCACGCUGGUCAGUGGCCACUGGCCGGCCACCGCACGCACCCACGCUUCGAUCAAGCACGAGCACGGCGCGCAGCGGGCCGAUGUCCAUGCGCGACCGCCGCGCCUCCGCCGUGUCCCCGUCGCUGCGCUUCCUCGGCUUCAUCAAGCAGCCCGAUGACGCCGGCGCUGCUGACCAGGAGCUCGAGCUCGACGAGCGCGACGUAGUCUGGUCGUCGUCCCCCUCCUUCUCCUCGGCCUCCACCGCCUCGUCGCCCUCGCCCACGCCGUCCCCGUCCGGGGGAAGCCACCGCUGGCCCCUCUCCUCCCGCGCGUUCCCGUCUGGCGGCGCCGGCCUGUCAUCGCUCAUCGCCGACGAGGACAACCACUCGCCCAGCGCGGCCAUCCCGGCCGCGGCCCGACGGGAGAAGCAGCCGCGCUCGCAGCCGUACCACCAGUCUGCGCCGGUGGCCGUACCUGCCUGGUCCAAGGCGACGGCGGAGAGGCGACGCCGGGAGGCGGAGCAAGAGGCCGCUGACGAGGAGGACGAAGACGACGACGAACUCAUGGUGCCGCCGCAUGAGAUGGCCGCGCGCCGCGCCGCGGCGGCGGCGUCGGUGAUGGAGGGCGCUGGGCGGACGCUGAAGGGGCGCGACCUCCGGCGCAUGCGCAACGCCGUGUGGCGUACCACCGGCUUCCUCGACCUGUGAAAAAGGACGCUCCUUUGGAGGUUUCUCUCGCUGCCCACGUCACUCCAAUUGAUGGUGUAGUAUUCGUUACAGAAAAUGUGGAUCUUCUGUUGCUACGUUUGUGAUUCUAGGCGAAAUAUUUUGAUGUACUACUAGUAAAUUAACAAGUGGUUAUGUUUUUCCUACUAGACGAAAAGAAUGCUGAUCACGGAGCAAUUAAAUAAGGUCUAAAUGGCUGGUUUGAACUUGCAACUAAGCACAAUAGACACUGGGAUACAAUUGCUUUAUGAUCUGUACAUUUUUUUCUGCAAAAAGAUACUACCUUCGUCCCAAAAUGUGAAGGGAGUACUUACUACUGAGCUUCAUUUAGAUGGGAAGUAAAAUGUGUUGCAUGGUACAAACACGUACAAUUGUAACUGUUAUACUUCAUCUGUUCACUUUUAUAAGACGUCUAGACAAUUCAGACAGCCCACAAAAUAGUUCAAUGUCAUCUGUCCAAAAUGUCUUAUAAAAGCAAACGGAGGGAGUAGUCCAUUUUUAUAAUUGAAAAGACCACAACACAUUUUACCAGUCGUACGUGUAUAUGUGCAUCGAUUGUGCAUGCCACUGUGAUUAGCAGAGUGCUUUUAUCUGAUGUUGCACUAGUACUCUCCAGGGUCUCCGUUACCAGCUGCAGGUGAAGAAUCCUCUUUCUCGUUGGCACACUCCUGUAAUGGAUUUGGUUUACAAUAAUGUUGAUGCUAGUUUUGAUCCUUUUACUGCUAAAUCCUGUUUUGGUGCUAUCAUUCGGGACAGCGCUGAUUGCCUUUUUUUCUGCUUGGAAUUGACUGGAAGGCUGCUUAGAUGGAACCGAAGUUAAACUGUUGUCUUGUUGAGAGCAUCUCUGAUGGUUGUGAGAUAACUGUUUAAUUUGCUAGUUCUUUUUCUUUAUAAUGAUGGCUCUCCCUCCGAUUUCACUUAGUAGAAACAAG
rnacentral:rRNA from 1 species